GCCGGGCGAGGUGGCGGCGCCUGUAGUCCCAGCUACACGGGAGGCUGAGGCAGGAGAAUGGCUUGAACCUGGGAGGUUGCAGUGAGCCGAGAUUGUGCCAUUGCCCUCCAGCCUGGGCGACAGGGACAAAACUGUCUCAAAAAAAAAANNNNNNNNNNUUUUUUUUUUGAGACAGUUUUGUCCCUGUCGCCCAGGCUGGAGGGCAAUGGCACAAUCUCGGCUCACUGCAACCUCCCAGGUUCAAGCGAGUCUCCUGCCUCAG
rnacentral:SRP_RNA from 1 species